UACGUAGGUGGCAAGCGUUGUCCGGAAUUAUUGGGCGUAAAGCGCGCGCAGGUGGUUUCUUAAGUCUGAUGUGAAAGCCCACGGCUCAACCGUGGAGGGUCAUUGGAAACUGGGAAACUUGAGUGCAGGAGAGAAGAGUGGAAUUCCACGUGUAGCGGUGAAAUGCGUAGAGAUGUGGAGGAACACCAGUGGCGAAGGCGACUCUUUGGCCUGUAACUGACACUGAGGCGCGAAAGCGUGGGGAGCAAACAGG
rnacentral:rRNA from 1 species